ensembl:lncRNA
CCACUACCCUGGCCUGUGUCAUUCUUAUCUUUAAUUGUAUCUUCAGGGUUUGCAAACACCAUAACCACAGAGGGAGGAAACUGAAGAGGUCAAUUAGACACAAAUCUAUAUUCAGCAAUUCAAAGGUCUCCCUCUUCAACUGGAUGCGCUUUGUGUACAGGUACGCUAUGGCAUAGGUAUAUGAUUUUAGCCUGUCUGUCUAUGAUGAAAAGUGUUUAUUUCAAUAGAAAUACUGUAUAAUUAUGCUGUCAUAAACAAUAACUGGAGACUAUGUACUAAAGCUUGUGAUUAUUAUGUUAUGGAGCAUCUCUAGGCUCAUGAUGAUAACAGGUGUCAGGGUGUGGGUGUCUCCCUGUGUUUCCCUCCUGUGUUGAUUACUGUUCCCUCCCCUAAUGUGUCUCAGCUGUUCCUCGUUGUGUUUGUUAUUUAGGCCCUCGUCUUUCCUUUGUUCGGGGUGCUGUCAUUGUGGUUUGCUGUGGUUAGUGUUGGUUGUUAGUCCUGCGUUAUCCGUGUUCCCUCUCGAGUUCCCUGUUUUCUCCCGAGUUCCCUGAUUCCUGUGCCUUAGGCUUUAGGUUUGAUUAAAGUGCCGUUUCCCUCAAUACCAUCUGCGUUUGGGUCCUACCUGCCUGCUUGCACCUCCAGCUCUCUUAACAGAAUGACAGCACCCCUAUUGGACCCAGCGGACGCUCAAUUUAGCCAGUGGUACCGGCCUCGUCGCCUGCUUGAGGUGGUCCGUCCUCCGCUCCUGCCUGAGGGGGCCCGCCCCCUGCUCCUUCCAGAGGGGUACCGGUCUUCGCUCCUGCCUGAGGGGUUCUGCCCCCUGCUCCUUCCAGAGGAGGACCGGCCACUGCUUCCACCGGAGGGGGUCCGCCCUCCAGACCGUCCAGGGGAGGCACGCCCUCUACCUGGCCUUCCACCAGAGGGGACCCGCCCCCUACCUGGCCUUCCACCAGAGGGGACCCGCCCUCUGCCUGGCCUUCCACCAGAGGGGACCCGCCCUCUACCCUGUCCACCAGAGGGGACCCGCCCCCUACCUGGCCUUCCACCAGAGGGGACCCGCCCUCUGCCUGGCCCUCCUCCUGAGGGGACCCGCCCUCUGCCUGGCCCUCCUCCUGAGGGGACCCGCCCUCUGCCUGGCCUGCCUCCUGAGGGGACCCGCCCUCUACCUGGCCUUCCUCUUGAGGGGACCCGCCCUCUACCUCGCCUUCGCCGGCCUCCUGAAGGGUUCCGCCUUCACCGCUGCCGGCCUUCUGAGGGGGUUCUGUGCCACUGCAGGUCUCCUGAGGGACUGAGCCCUCAUCGUCCUUGCACCCGGCCUCCUGAAGGGUUCCGCCUUCACUCUGCCUCUGCUUGCCCCCCAGGCCGUCCGCCUGAGGCUCCCUGCCAUGCCCUGGGGCAGUUUUCUGGCCGCCCGCCUGACGUCCCUCGGCUCUGCCGCAGUCCAUUUUUUUUGAUUCCCCCCUCCUGGCGCCCCUCCACCCACCCGUUUUGGGUUUGACUUUCUUUGUUUUUUGCUUGUCGUGGGUCGCCUGGGAGUCGACCCUUAAGGGGGGGGUACUGUCAGGGUGUGGGUGUCUCCCUGUGUUUCCCUCCUGUGUUGAUUACUGUUCCCUCCCCUAAUGUGUCUCAGCUGUUCCUCGUUGUGUUUGUUAUUUAGGCCCUCGUCUUUCCUUUGUUCAGGGUGCUGUCAUUGUGGUUUGCUGUGGUUAGUGUUGGUUGUUAGUCCUGCAUGUUCCGUGUUCCGUGUUCCCUCUCGAGUUCCCUGUUGUCUCCCGAGUUCCCUGAUUCCUGUGCCUUAGCCUUUAGGUUUGAUUAAAGUGCCGUUUCCCUCAAUACCGUCUGCGUUUGGGUCCUACCUGCCUGCUUGCACCUCCAGCUCCCUUAACAACAGAUUUGCACAAGGCCUGCGUCUACGUCAAGUGGACAUGAUCAAUGAUGACAUUUCUGCAAGCUCAGCAACCCUGUCCAAGAUGGCUCAAAAGCUGCGAGAUGUGUGCACUACUGCGAUGGACAGAUAUCAGCAAGCAAGAGGCCAGUACAUUGGGGGGCGGCAGCAGUUUGUCACCAUAGAUGAGAGCCACUUCAGACACAAAAGAAAGUACGGACGGGGACGAAUGGCUGGUGGCUGGAAGAAGAAGAAGUGGGUGUUUGGGAUGCUAGGUGUGAACAGGAGAGGGAGAAGACAUGCAAAGCCUGUUCUUCGCUUAGUUGAGAGAAGAAGAAGGAGAGAUCUGGUGCCACUUUAAGCUCACCAUGUUAAAGUGGGAUCUACAAUAAUAAGUGAUGAGUGGCGGGCUUAUCGCAAUGCUUUAACUCAGUUAGGUUAUACCCAUUUCACUGUCAAUCACAGUGUGUCAUAUGUCGAUGCCCAAACAGGUGCACAACUCGUACAGAGGAGUUACUGGUAGACCAUCUCAGAGUUAUUGAAUGGCAUGAGUGGCUUGCCCGAAAGCAUCGCAAAGGGCCGUUAGGACGGAUAAUCCAUGACAUUGCUGUGAUGUAUGGACAUUAAAUGUCCCUCUGAAAUUCUGUUUAUCCAGUGUUUAGCACAAAAAGUGCAGAAACCUCAUGUGUUUGUAUACUGUUGUAUACUGCUGUUCUGCCAAGUGAUGGCUCAGUAUGCGUGUUUCUAUUCAUUAAACACAAUGUUCAACAUUUCAUCUGUG